rnacentral:rRNA from 1 species
GACGUAGGUGGCGAACGUUAUCCGGAAUUAUUGGGCGUAAAGGAUGCGUAGAUGGUGUAGUAAGUUAUCGGUGGCAAAUCGAGGCUCAACCUCGUGGAAGUCGGUAAUACUGCUAUGCUAGAGGAUAGGAGAGGUUAACGGAACUCCCUGUGGAGCGGUGAAAUGCGUAGAUAUCAGGAGGAACACCUGUGGCGAAAGCGGCGCACUGGACCACAACUGACGCUGAGGCGCGAAAGCUAGGGGAGCAAACAGG